rnacentral:rRNA from 1 species
CGUGUCGUGAGAUGUUGGGUUAAGUCCCGCAACGAGCCCAACCCCUGUGAACUGUUUCCACCGGCGCAAGCCGAGCACUCUGUUCAGACUGCCCUGUGAAACGGGGAGGAAGGUGGGGACGACGUCAAGACAGUAUGGCCCUUACGGCCUGGGCUGCACACGUACUACAAUGCCCAGUACAGAACGAUCCGAGACCGCGAGGUGGAGGAAAUCUAGUAAAACUGGGCUCAGUUCGGAUUGGAGUCUGCAACUCGACUCCAUGAAGCCGGAAUCGCUAGUAAUGCCGUAUCAGCUACGACGGCGUGAAUACGUUCCCGGGCCUUGUACACACCGCCCGUCACAUCAUGGAAGUCAUUUGUUGCCGAAGCCGGCGCGCCAACCAGCAAUGGAAGCAGCCCGUG